UGGUGGAGCGCUUUGUCUGGUUAAUUCCGAUAACGAACGAGACUCUAGCCUGCUAAAUAGACGGGCGAUCCCUUGUGGGUCGAUCCGAUUUGCUUCUUAGAGGGACAAGUGGCGUUCCUAGCCACGCGAAAUUGAGCAAUAACA
rnacentral:rRNA from 1 species